CCCCCCUGCCCCCUCCGCCCGAUGACACAGGGGACGCCAGUGAGAUGGCUGCCCAUCUAAGACGUCACCAGACCACAAAGAUACCAUCACAGCCUUCAGAGACACACACGGCUGGCUGUCUCACACCCUCUAAUUUAACACGCAUGAGUCAAUAAACCCUCAGUUUUUUUUAUUUUUUAUUUUUGCUUUCCAUUCGUUUUGUUUCCCUUUUUUCCCCUCCCAUCUGCUGAUUUACUUUCCUUCUCAUUUUCUGGUUUUUUUCCCAUCGCCUCCCGUGUCCACGAGCUGCUUGCAUUGUUUUCCAGGGGCUGGUUUGGCCUUUCCAAGUGGCUCUUUGGACACUGAUGCCAUCUGAUUGGCACCAGCUAGCCACCCACCAUUGCCCCUGUCUCUGGCAUCCUUGGGGCUCACGUGGGACAGGAAACAUCAGCUCAGCAGCAGUGGGACAAGAGGGCUCUCACUUCCCUUGUGAGAAAGCACGCACUACGCCCGGGAGCUCAACAGCCAGCCUCUGCACACAACUGCAUCGUCCUGUGGUGAUGGGAGGUCCACCCUGAGCUGCACCAUGGGCUGGAGGAAAACCAGAAACUAGGAAUAUGCCUCCGUCUUGUAUCCUGUUCGGCCCCUCACCGCACUAUUCUGAUGGCCACCAUUUUGUCCAACUGAAUCUAGAGUCCCGAGCUGGCCAUUAUGUUGGUUCUGAACAGGAUCACCCAAGAAAUGCAGCCAGAAGCCAAGGAGCCUGGGAGUCACUGUCGCGCACUGGGGUUGGUGCCCUGAGCGGGAUCAGUGAGGGACAGAACCAGUGAGGACAGCUAGGGGUCUGGCUUAUCUCGUGAGGGCAGGUCCUGCCCUUUCUGAAGUCCCCAUGCGACCAGCCUACCCUGCUUCCUGGGUAGGCCGCCGUCUCAGGCUCUGGAGACCGGGACGCAGGACAAGCCUGGGCCCAGGCCUUCGAGUCCAGCUUCCAACAGCACAGGGCCUUCUCAGAACCCAGCGGCGCGCUCACCCGGCUCUGUCCCACCACACCAAGGAGCUGAUGCUUUGCAUCCUCAGAUGACAAAGGGUCCAGAAGGCAGUCCAGGCUGCUCCCUCAAAGAGCUCCUGCAGCCAUCGGAUGGCUCCCGGGGCGGCAGGGUCCAAGGUGCUGGCGUUAGUACCGCUGCUGGGUCUGUGAGCUGCAGUGGUCCCAACUCGGCUGCACAGUGUACAGUUCUGCGGGGAGGAGGCUGCUUGUCCAAGGCUGGUGCUGACACCUCUGCCUUAAGGUCUCUGUCUGCGGAGCGAGGAGGCCCAGAGCGGGGUUCUGCCCUGGAAGGAGGGGAAGAUCGCCCGAGGGGCCUGCUUUGGGCGCAGGCCUCUCCUGACCCUUCUCGGCUCCAGCCCCGUGGCCGUCUUUGCCCUGCGGUCGGGCCCUUAGCUCUCUUCUCGGUGCUGCCCAGCCAGUGCCUUCGGUCCUGGGCGUUACUGGCUACUUGAGAAAAAGGAAAGGGGUGAACCCCUUCCUCCAUCCAACUGCCUCAGACACCCCCUCCCCACCCCGGCAAAGCGAUUCCUGCCUCCCUGUAACCAUGGCUACCACCGAGAAUUUUAGCUGGACCCUUGGCAGCGCGGCUCUGGAAGCCUGUGGCGUUACCACGUUUCCCCUCUGAGCCUGGGAUCCACAGCUCUGCUUUCAGUGGACGCUGCCCUGAGCCCAGUCGUCAGUGGCUUUCCUGCAGCAAGUGUGUUCCCAACCGGCCAGGUGGCAUCAGCCUCCAUGUUCCCUCUGCAGCCUGGGACCCCUGGCCACCGGCCAUCUCCCAGGGACCUCCGGGUCGUGGCGACUGCAGGAGGCCAACCCUCGUGGUGCUAGAACCCUGGGGACACUGGUCCAGACCUCGGAAGCCGAAACCCACGCUCCUCUCACCGCCCUGAGUGCCCAGAGCAGGCUCAAGGCGUCCUCCUACCUACGCACCUCCACCUGCUUCUCGACUCAGACCCCUGGGAUCCCUCAAAAAAAGAAGCCGGGUCCCAGAGCGAAACUCAACCCCCCCAGGCGCCUUGAGAAGAUCACAGGCUCUCAAGGACAGGGGUGUGUGCUGCCCCUCCCCUAGCCCCCAGGCCCCCUCCUUACCAACGCUGCAAGCAGAGGGUGUGGUUCAACGCCCAGCCCCCGGGAGGUGCCUGCUCGGCCCCUUGUUUCUGGAAGAAGACCAAUCCGUUUGUCCCGUGUGCGUGCUGUGCUCUCAGUCCCCGCCUAGGCACUCAGAAUAAAGCACUAGGUAACUGG
ensembl:lncRNA